rnacentral:rRNA from 1 species
AACCUGCCCUUAGGACGGGGAUAAACCCGGGAAACUGGGUAUAAUACCCGAUAGGUCUCGAUUGCUGGAAUGCAUCGAGAUUUAAAGCUCCGGCGCCUAAGGAUGGGUCUGCGGCCUAUCAGGUAGUAGUGGGUGUAGCGUACCUACUAGCCUACGACGGGUACGGGUUGUGAGAGCAAGAGCCCGGAGAUGGAUUCUGAGACACAAAUCCAGGCCCUACGGGGCGCAGCAGGCGCGAAAACUUUACAAUGCGAGAAAUCGUGAUAAGGGAACCCCGAGUGCCCGUAAAUUCGGGCUGUCCAUCAGUGUAAAAAACUGGUGAAGAAAGGGCCGGGCAAGACCGGUGCCAGCCGCCGCGGUAACACCGGCGGCCCGAGUGGUGGCCACUAUUAUUGGGUCUAAAGGGUCCGUAGCCGGUUUGGUCAGUCUUCCGGGAAAUCUGACGGCUCAACCGUUAGGCUUUCGGGGGAUACUACCAGGCUUGGGACCGGGAGAGGUAAGAGGUACUACGGGGGUAGGAGUGAAAUCUUGUAAUCCCUGUGGGACCACCAGUGGCGAAGGCGUCUUACCAGAACGGGUCCGACGGUGAGGGACGAAAGCUGGGGGCACGAACCGGAUUAGAUACCCGGGUAGUCCCAGCUGUAAACUAUGCUCGCUAGGUGUCAGGGACGGUGCGACCGUUUCUGGUGCCGCAGGGAAGCCGUGAAGCGAGCCACCUGGGAAGUACGGUCGCAAGGCUGAAACUUAA